rnacentral:tRNA from 1 species
GUGGGUACAGCUCAGUGGUAGAGCCCAUGCUUAGCACACACAAGUUCCUGGGUUCAAUCCCCAGUACCUCCA